rnacentral:tRNA from 1 species
AAGGGUAUAGCUUAGUGGUAGAGUACAUGCUUAGCAUGCACGAGACCUUGGGUUCAAUCCUUAGUACCUCCA